rnacentral:rRNA from 6 species
AAAUUGAAGAGUUUGAUCAUGGCUCAGAUUGAACGCUGGCGGCAGGCCUAACACAUGCAAGUCGAACGGUAACAGGAAGCAGCUUGCUGCUUCGCUGACGAGUGGCGGACGGGUGAGUAAUGUCUGGGAAACUGCCUGAUGGAGGGGGAUAACUACUGGAAACGGUAGCUAAUACCGCAUAAUGUCGCAAGACCAAAGAGGGGGACCUUCGGGCCUCUU